UUUUCCAAAUUUCAAGGACUUCUGGUGUAUCCUUUUGUGCUCCCCAUAUCCCAGGAUGCAUUGCAGUCGACCCCGGAGAUUUUUCCACAGUGGUGGACUUAGAUGUGGGACCCAGAGUCAUAGAAAAUGUGACUUUUAAUGACAAUCCUGAAGAUAAUGACUCUGCUGGGAAAUAUUUCCCCCUUAUAGGCCAAAAAAACAGUGGGAUAACCUAAAAAAAUUACAAAGUAUGUUGAUGUGUGGUGAAGAAUAUAACAUGUUGGAUACAUGUUAAAUAUGCAUGUUAUAAAAAGGUUUGUAUCUUCUUUCUGCCGUCCAUUAUGAUUCUUUGUAUUCAGGAUUGUGAGUAUCCAGCAUCAGGAGAAGGUUAGUGGGAUGUCCACUGCUGCUACUGUUGGUUUGACCUCAUGGAUGAGGCAUCAGGACAGAGACCUUCCACCAGUCUUCCUGUCCUGAUUUCUUCUAUCUGGGAGUAAACUCCACAGACAAGUACAGCAGUGGGUGAAAGAGAGGAAGGAAGGAGUGAGCCACCAGGUGGAAGAAGGAAAUGAAACACUAGUUGCAUUUCCAUUAUACAUUUGCGCAAAACUUUAUCGAAAUUCUAGGAAUUUAGAAAAACACAUUUCGAAAUGACACUGUUACUAUUAAAUCAUAUUUUUUUGCAAUAAAGCACAAAGCAACUCACGCGAUAAGUCAUUAAGAACACGGCAAUUAAUGAGAACAAGCAGAUUGCGGUGACGUCACAGCUCUGUCUGAAGAGCGUGUGCCGCGCAGUCUAUUGACAGUCUCAGGUGCACGUGAGAAACCUGUUCAGCAGUUUAAAAAAAAAUAACCAUUCCAGCAAGUACGCUGCUGGACCUUUUUUUUCUGUUUAAAAACAUGACGAGAUCCAUUUAAGUUUCUGUCCAUGCACUCGCGCUUUUUCUCAAACGGGAGUUCAGCAUCUUUAGACUCCAAGCUGCAGAAGUGUAGCUGGAGAUGAAGCGAUGAGGAAAUCUUGGUGAUUUUAUUAUGGAGGAGCUGCAUGAUUCCAUAUGACACUCAAGUUCUAAAGAACUGUGAAGCUGUUGGAUCUCUCCUGCCGCCCGCUGUGUUGCUCUCAGGAUGGACACUUCAUACAAAGAGGCGCAUCUAUUUUGAAAAAAGUGUUUCCAUUACAGUUUUGCAUUUUGUCUGUUUCACUACUCCCCAAAUCCCACCUCCUCUAAGCACAAAACCUUUUUUUCGAAAAAUGCCAGUUUUUUAGAAAUUGUGGUGUUUCCAUUAAAAAUGUAUUAUCGAAACUCCAAUUUGCAAAAUUUCAGUCAAUGGAAACGCGACUAGUGAUGAGCUUUCUAGACCUGAUCAGAGAGGACACGAGGCAGAAGAGCAGAGCGCACGAGAGAGGAGGGAAACUUUUGACCAACUUUAGUCUCCUGGAUAAAAAUGCCAACAAAUAACCACAUUUGAUUUCUGAGAAUUAAUGAAGUUUAUAUUUGAUGUAUUAAAAUGUUUGUUUUUUUAAUAUAAAUAAAGGUAAAAAUCCAACACAGUAA